CACAGGCAGACCCCCAUAUACAUUCUUUUUUAUACUUUACUUUUCUAAAUAAACCUAUGUUUCUAUAAAAAUUUAAGUUUUAUUUUUUUGCGGCCCACAUAAACUUAAACCUUGUUUAUGUGGCCCGUGUUAGCCUUUGAGUUUGACCUACUUGUUCUAAACCAAUCAGCCCGAAUUGCCAGAUGCAAACCAUCUGUGCUAUUAAUAAGUGUGUAAAUAAAAUAAUCCCUGUUUGGUGUGACGCUCCAUCUUGUUAUAUGGCUUCUUCUCACAGGACGACUGUCAGAAAAUUGCGGUGUUCCUAGAAAAUGCUCUACACAAAGACCAGACCCCACUGCACUGACCCCCUGGUCUGAAGGCCUUACAGUACCGGGAGAUGAGUGUGACAAAACACAUGGAUGCCUAUGAGAAUGUGGCUUCAGAUCCACCAACCUCGUAAUGCAUGGUCAGUUCCUCCCCGGAGGAGUGGGAGUACCUGCGCUCCAGCGACAAGCUAUCAUUGCUUUUCCACUGCAUCUGACACUGUCUACAGUCCUGGUGACACAAGCCACAAGAAAUACUUAAGAAAUUUAUGCUAAAUGUACAUCUGCUUCUUAAUGCCAACUUGGCUCCAACGUCAAGGUGUUGAUCCUGUGAUCCCGAUAACGAGUCACCUGCAAGGAAGUCUGGGAUCAAUUUGUCUUCCUAAUAACGUUAAAAGCACAAACCACAGCUCCGUUUAUAUCUGCAUCUUAUAGCGGGUGAAUUUUUGUAUGCAUUAUGAGUUCCUGUAUAUAAAAAAACUAUUUGUGAGAUUGUGGGUCAGUGACUCUCAGUGUGUGAUAAAAGCAAAUCCAGGAAUGUUACCAGUUUUUAGACAGACACACCGGACCCCUAAAGCACUUCUGAACCUUGUUACCAGCCCCUGGCUGUCAAUUAGACAACCGGUCCUGUUACUUCCUGAUUAUUUUUUUUUUUUUUUAGCAAUAGCCCAAAGCACCUGCCUUACAAAGACUUCUCAUUGAGCUGCAUUGGGAAGUCUUUGAUUGGACAACCACAGAAAGUGUGGGCGGGGUUAGAAGGUGAGGUCUUGGAAAGGUCACAGACAAGAGAACUGCAAGUUGUUUUUAGAUUUAUAUGAGAAUUGCAGAAAAGAAGAGAAACAAAGAUGGAAAAUCUAAAGCUAAUGCAUACCUCCUAGGUGGGGGAGAACCCCUGUAGUAAACAAUAUGCAAGUAAGAAACAAAGAGGAGGAUGCGACACCUGGUGUUAAAAAGUGGAAUACUAAGGGAGUGAAAUAGUACCUAUGAUAAGACUUAACUUUUAAUAAAUAAAAUGAAAAAGUCCAAAAAGAACUAGACCAAAAACUAACCAUAAAACAAGACAAAUAGUACUAUAGACAAAAAUAAUAACAAAAG